AAAGAGAAGAUGCAUGAGGAGUGUACAUGCCUCAGAACUGGAUGCUGAGACAUGCCCCCGCGAUCCCAAGACCACCAGGUACCGUGAGCAAUCACUGGAGCUGGAACACUGCUGCCUGAGGAAGAGAAGAAGUGCAGGCUUGUCAUUGUCUAUGCUGUUACUUGUGGUUCCCGGGUCUUCAGAGAGGAUGCACAAGAACGGGAGAACCGGCCCCUGGGAUUUGCUGCUCAGGACCCGAGUUCACUGAGACAUCAGGAGCAAGCACUGGAGGCCGGUGCUGCUGGAUCCAGAUGGGAGCCAUGCAGGACUUGACCAUGGCCUGCACACACUUCUUCCCAGGAGAAGGGGAAUGAGGAAGGCAGACUGGCAUCACAGGACCCUUCAGAGUAUUAAUGCAGACCUUCGUGACAGAGGUCCAGUACCAAGUGCUCAGCGGUGCUAAGGUCCAGGGACAGGAGGCAGAAGGGCGGGUUCCAGCCCGCUCAGCUGGCCAUGAACCGGCCCCUGGGAUUUGCUGCUCAGGACCCGAGUUCAGUGAGACAUCAGGAGCAAGCACUGGAGGCCGGUGCUGCUGGACCCAGAUGGGAGCCAUGCAGGACUUGACCAUGGCCUGCACACACUUCUUCCCAGGAGAAGGGGAAUGAGGAAGAACUGGACCAGAAGAUUUAACUUCCAUACCACAAGCACUGGGGUAGAAGACUGCUGCUGGGUGAAGAAGAGACUAGACUUGAUCAUUGAGCAGCCACUCACUGAUAUCUUCAGUGCUGCAUGAGGAAGAGUUUAUUCUUCUGGAUUUGGUGGUGGAUUCUGGUGAAGAUACAGAUGGAUGCUCUGGCUGAGUCGCUACCUUGAAAUGAAAAUGGGAGGUAAACUCUCCCAUAGAUGAAUCUUCUUCAUUUUGAAGGACUGGCCCCUGGGAUUUUCUGCUCAGGACCCGAGUUCACUGAGACAUCAGGAGCAAGCACUGGAGGCCGGUGCUGCUGGACCCAGAUGGGCGCCAUGCAGGACUUGACCAUGGCCUGCACACACUUCUUCCCAGGAGAAGGGGAAUGAGGAAAGUGGGGGGCCUCAAAGCUUCCUUUCCUUUCUGUUUGUCUUGCUAUGUUUUUAUAUUCCUUUUUAUCCAUUUAAUUAUUUAGUACAAAAUCAGGUCCAGUCUCCUUAGAUAUGGCAUUGAUAUAAAGUGUAAAAUGGAAGCUAAAUUCUAGGAGUACAGCAUUGCAUGCUUCUGACAGAGACAAGGAAGGCUAGAAUCACACAGUUAGUGGACACUGCAACUAUAUUGACAUUUUUUUUUUUUUAGACUGUGAAGGUGGGGACAGAUUGCUGCACUCAGAACACCUUCCCUGCUCUGGGGAAACAAACACUGUCAUCAUGGGGAAAAUGUUUCCUGUAGACCCACACAAGCACACACCCCUCCUCCUACAUCCAGCUUCUCCUCAGCCAUUUUGAAGCAGGGAAGAUCAGGGGGAUUCAUGAAUGGCGAAAUUUGGCCUUUUUUAGUGUAUUUCUCUCCUUCUGUAGGCAGACUGGCAUCACCUGACCCUUCAGAGUAUUAACUCAGACCCUGGUGACUGAGGUCCAGUACCAAGUGCUCAGCUGGGCUGCGGUGCAGGGACAGGAAGCAGAAGGGCAGAUUCAACCCCCCUCAGCUGGCCAUGCUAAUCUACUAGCUGGUGUCCUAGGGCAGCAAGGCGCCUCCCUCUCCAGGAUCUGAUGAGAAAACACUGCAGUUCCAGUUUCUUUCGGGGCUUGAAGAGAAGUCAAGGAAGCCCUGCAAGGCACUCACAGCUGAUCAUGCUUUCUGUAAUCGCCCUCCAUCUUCCUUCAUUGCUAGGAAUCAUUGGAAGGACAACAGCGGAGCUGUGAGUUUUGAAACCGCGUCCUCAUGGGGGCAGUAGAGGUCCACACAAGAGCUUAACUGGCCCCUGGGAUUUGCUGCUCAGAACCUGAGUUCACUGAGACAUCAGGAGCAAGUACUGGAGGCCGGUGCUGCUGGACCCAGAUGGGAGCCAUGCGGGACUUGACCAUGGCCUGCACACACUUCUUCCCAGGAGAAGGGGAGUGAGGAAGAACCGGCCCCUGGGAUUUGCUGCUCAGGACCCGAGUUCACUGAGACAUCAGGAGCAAGCACUGGAGGCCGGGUGCUGCUGGACCCAGAUGGGAGCCAUGCAGGACUUGACCAUGGCCUGCACACACUUCUUCCCAGGAGAAGGGGAAUGAGGAAGAAAGGCUCAUGGCGUCUAUGUCGUAAAUGAGCUGUGGAUUUGCUAUGCCCCUUCUCUUCAGCAACCCUUAUUUUUCUUGCCUGUACAUCUCUACUGUGGGAAUCACAGGGAAGCUGCUGCAGCACAACUUGAAAUAGAAAGCUGGAUGGUAUGAAUUUAGGACAAGAACAUGAGAAGAAGGGCUCCAGAGAGGAUUCAUUAAGAGCAUUUUCUGCUCUUCCAGAAGCAUCCGAGUUUGGUGUGGGCACCCAAGUCAUUAGGCUCAGAGCUGCUUGGCACCAGGAGAUGUCAGGAAGCUGGUAUAAAUCCUCAUGGGACUUGAAGGGCGAGUGGCCUGAAGUGGGUCACAAGUGAUCAGGGAUUCUCAAACUGCUGUUCCCAGCUUGCAUUUAAAAAUGGGAAAUAACUCAAAAGACAAUUGCAAACUCUCUGCAGUCAAGAUGGCUCCUGCUUGUAAUCUCAGUGUUCAGAAGGUAGGAAAGGACUACUGUGAGCACCAGGUCAGCCUGGACUAGAGAGAAGACUUUGUGUCAAAGAACGAAGUUUUAUAAAGGGCAGUCUUGUGGGGUAGAGGCAUGGCAGUAUACGAAGCACGUGUGCGUGUUUCUGUGUGUUUCUUGCUCUUGUCCAUGCUAGAAGCAGAACUUCAUUGUACCGUCACUGCUCCCACAGUACUAUACCUGCUGGAUCCAGAACUGCGGCAGGGUAAGACCAGCCAGGACAAGCCAGUGCCAGGUGGCACAGGUGUUUGGAAAAGGCCUGACGUGUACCCAACUGUGUGAAGGAAUGGGGGACCCAAAACACAGGGCAAAGAAUUAUGCUUCCAUCCACGAGAGCAAAGGUGUGGGGGGGGGGGCUGGGGGGGAUAGAUUCCAUAUGAACAUUUUGAAGAUGUGUAAUUGGAACAAAAUUGAAUUUCAUAUAAGACAUAGUAGCAAGCUCCAUACAGUUUACUUUAUCGUAUCUUAAUGUCUUCUCAAGUAAAAUACAGAAGUCCAUAAAUUCAAAAUAUAUACUAAUAUGAAUAUAUGCCACAGUUUAAGGUGAUGACAAAGACUUUGUGUAAAGCUAUGUCUGUUAAUGUUGACGACUGUUAGAAUGUUUUUUAUGGGCAACAUGCAUAUCUAUUUUAUAAUUUAAUAACUAAAGGGGUGUUCAUGAAAAUCUUGAGUGUAUGAGAAUGCUGUAGCUAUGUACCGAAAGCUCUCAGUGAGCACUGCUGGGUGAGACUAUAUUUGAGAAGCCAGGUUUAAACAUCUUUUGUUGAGGUUUUCUUUUUCCUAAUGGAUUUUGAAGAUGUGGUUUGCUUUUUCUAUUUAGAAUAGUCAUACUUAUAAAGUCCACCUAGGCUGGCCUAUAACUGGCAAUUCUCUCUCAGUCUGGUAUUAUAGAUAUGCAAAGUUAAGCAUUAAACAACAAAAAUUAUGUAGAGAUCUUCUCUCAAAAACACUAAGAAAAUCAUAACUUCUGAGUAGUUAUGAUUUUGAGAUUCCUCCCUAUACAUUUUUAUAUGUGAUUCCUCAUAUUAAUUUUAUAUGUAUUAUACACAAAAUACAUUCAAGUACUUUUAUCUAUAGAUGAAUAAAUAUAAAUAAAAACCUUAAUAAUUUGCCAUAAAUAAA
rnacentral:lncRNA from 7 species